GCAUAUGACUACUGGCAGGAUCAACCAGGUAGCAUUCCUCUUUCGACACCAAGCACGUAUGAGACGAUCCACAGGAUUCGUUCAACGCGUGAAUGAUUGUCGUUCGCACGAAGCGUGGGACGCUGAAUUUGGGGCAAAGCAAGGUCGCAACGAACCUUGUACCCGCUCAAUGUUCCAUACCCGAGAUACCGCGCACAACAUCAUGGGCCAAACAAUCCAAGCACACCUAAGUGGCAAGGAAAGCGGAACACAAUGUCUGCUGCAAAGUCCACCAACGCAGCAUCCCGAAGGUUGCAGCACUAGUUGGAUGACCAAUGAUUUCGACAAACGAAUGCCCUCAGUGCAGGAACUCAACACAAGAAACCAAAAACGGGCAAGGCAUGCUCAAUCCAACAACUGAAUAAUGAUGCGAAACACAUUGUCGCUGCUCAAGCAAGGAUCCGACGUGCCAAUAGCAACCAAACACCACUCA
rnacentral:misc_RNA from 1 species